rnacentral:lncRNA from 10 species
UAAAUGAUCAAUUCAGCAGUAUGGGGAAAAAUGGUAGGUAUAUUAUUUUAAUUUCACAUUUGCAUGAUUCAUAAAUCAAUAAAUAAAAUUUACAUACCUUCACAUGUACAUAUACCCCUACAUUCAGAGUAUGAAUAAACCAAGGGAAAAAGAUUGUAUAGAAAAGAGAAUUGUAGUAAAAGAGACAUAAAGUCAAUUUUGACUCUUGCUCCUGAAAAAGACAUGCUAUAGAUUAAUUCUGUUGUUCUAUAUAUUCAUUUCUAAUUCAUUAAACAUUGUCUCAUGCAUCCUGUGUUGUAGAUAACCUUACGUAAAGGUUGGACAGGAUAAGAUAAUAAACCAUAUGAAGCUCAGGGUGCUGUGGAACAGACAGAUAAGCUAAUAAAUAUAAAGCAAUGUGGUGGUAAAAUGAUUGAGAUAAUAAUUAUGUUAACUAACUUUUUUUUAAACAAAUAUUUAUGUGCCUACAAUGUACCAGGGAUUAUGUUAGCCACUGGAGAUACAAUGGUGAAAAAACAGUGGAUACUGUACUAAUCAUUUUCUCUAUAUUAUUUCAUUUAUCCCUCGCAGCUGCCCUGUGAAAUGUGUGUUAUUAUAAUCUCCAUGAAACUAAGAAAAGGCUUGCCUAAAACUGCGCAGAUAAAACUAGGUCAGAAGAUAUACAACAUCUAUUAUGAAAGCAAAUGCUUCUAUUUUGAGUGGCAUUCAAAUUAGGCUGAAGUGGAAAGUGGGUAUGUGUGUGUUAGUCAUGCAAAGAAGGUCUGGGAAGCACUUUUCAUGAAGUGAGGUUAUCAUAAUCAAAGUCAUAGUCUCUAGAGGAGCACUGUGUAUUUUAGGAACUUCUAGGAAUUGUGUUUUCCUUGAGUAUAAAUUUUGAGGAUGGUGAGAAAUGAGCCAUGGCAAAUAAGAUGGGCUCAUAAUCCCAGAGGCAAAAUGAAGGGUGACAUGCUCAGAUUUGCCUUUUAUUAAAAUCAUGCUAGCUACAUUGUAAAGAAAGGCUUAGAGGCUAGGCAAGGUGGUUCACACUUGUACUCCCAGUGAUUUGGGAGGCCAAGGCAGGAGGAUCACUUCAGGGCAGGAGUUUGAGACCAAUAUAGCAAAGAUCUGUCUCUACAAUAUAUAUAUAUAUAUAUUUUUUUUUAAUAGCUGGGUGUGUGGUGCAUGCCUGUAGUCCUAGCUACUUAGCAGGCUGAGGUGGGAGGAUCACCUGAGUUCAGGAGUUAGAGGUUACAGGGAGCUAUGAUUUCACCACUGCACUCCAGUCUGGACAAUAGACUGGAGCCAAAUAUGGCUCUUAGAUAUAAGAAUAAGGACUACUUGGGAUCUCACAUAGAUUACUUGGUGGUAUACACAGAAGUUUAUGUGAAAUAAAUAGUUAAGGAGUAAUAUCGAGAGCACAAUUAGGUAUUGUCAGAAGCUUAGAGGCCUGGGUUUCAGAAAAAGAUUAGGAAAGUGUUCUCAGAAAGGAAAUAUUUAAAAUAUGACAGUAACUGAAAUGUAGAGUUUAGUGGCCCAGUUUAUGGAGUCUUGAGGGAGACUAGAAUAUAAAGAUAGGCUAAGGGAAGAGGGUUUUUUUUUUCUUUUUUCAAGAAACCCAACCAUUCAACAGAAAAGACUCUUUCUGUUCAAAACAAUAAAGUUUUCUAUUUUAGAAAUUUAGAAAGUUUUAAGAAGGAAUUGACAGAGUCAAAGACAACAAAAAAUUAGGAAUAUAUGGAUUGAAAAUGUCCAUUAUUUUAGAAAAUUACGUCAUUAUUGACUUUGAUAAAUCUUUUUAGAAUGGUUGAAGAAGCAACAAGAUCAAAAUAAUUUUAGAUGGAUUUUCAGGAAAUUUACAUGUAAAAGAAAUGUGAAAGAUCAGAUAGAUCAAGGAAGGAUAUGUCUCAGGAUUAGAAUAGCUGGAAUAUUUAUAGGUUGAGAGAACAAACAAGUAGUGAGAGAAAAAGAGACAGAAACAAAGAUAUAGGACAGAAGGGGAGGACAAAUGGAACAUGAUUCUGGAAACAGACAAUGAAAAUUUCAGGUGGCUGUGUAUUACUUUUGGAGAGAACACCUAAUCUUCUGGAAGAAAAGAAAGUAGGAUGGACACAGUGUAUACAUACACUGGUACAGGAGAGAGCAAAAAUGGAAGGUAUUUACCAUUAAGGUCUGAUGAGACUGGGAUUCCAGUGUUUGUGUAACAAGCCUGAACAGAGUAUUGAAAAUUGGAUAGGCACUGAGGGACAUGUUGUUUCCUGUGGCAGGAAAUUUUCAAAACAAGAGAAAGAUGGUGAGAUUUAAUAAAUAAAUAAGCAGUAUUAUCUCCACUUUUCACCUUCCACUCUUCCAAAGAGGCUCAGAUUCAUUGAAUGGCAGUAAGAUAUGGAAUGUAUUCCUCCUUAUGUAACUUGACCACUGUGAAAAUUUAUAAGAGUUGAGAAUACUAUUGGUUGAAACCAUGUACCUCUUGGAAUCUACUACUGAACUAUUGCCCAAGGUCUGUUGCAGUGACCUGAAUUCUGAAGGUGGGAAUAUAUGCGGAAUUACCUAAAAUAGUAAUACCUUGCAUUUAUUGAGUUAUUACUAUAAUUCGGUCAUUAUUCUGUGUGUUUUAUAUUAUUCAGUCAUUUAAAUAUCACGAAAAGUCUGAGUUGGUGGUAUCAUCUUUUAUUUUUAUAGAGGGGAUUUGGCAGAGUACUUUCCGGGUGCUCUUUCUCAUAGGUGAGUAAAAGCAUAUGAGUAAUUCUGGUCAGUAAGCUUUAGGAAGAGGUGAUGUGUAUAAUUUCUGGGUUGAAUCACAGGAUAGCAGGUGACUUUUCUGUUCAGUGAUCAUGAUGGAGGCCUCUGUUUCUGGAUGUGCAACUGUAACAUGGAUGAGUGUCCAUCAGCCUGAGUGCCUGAGUAAUUGUGUAAAGAAGAGCCCCCUCUAUUGCUUUAUAAGUGAUAAUUACAUUUUGGUGGUUAACUUACUUAAACUUGAGGUAGGGUAUUAAUUUGCUACCACAAAAUAAUCUAACAUAGCCUGACUAACAAGUGAUCAAAAUGAGAGAUAUAGCACUAAAUCAUAGGGUAAGUAAGUACUUCUUCACUUUCCUCUGCAAUGGAGAGAUGGGGACAAAUACGGCUCUUAGGAAUCUGCUACAGAGCUAACAGCUCCAGGUCUACUGCAGUGAUCUGAAUCCCUAAGAUUUUCUACCAUGCCCAUGGUAGACAUUAUUAAUUGUUCUUCAACUCUCUUGAUGAGUCUGGGAGCCAUCUAGGAAUUAUUUUCAAUACAGAAAGCCUAGUAGUUGCUAUUAAUUUUUAGGAUUGAAGUGUAUAUAAAACCUGCAUGUCAUCCAUAUUAUGGACGUUUGUUCAUGUCACACCUUGUUUCUAACUGCCUUUGAAAUAUGUGGCAGAAGAUCUAGGUAGGUUGGUUGACCCACACGCAUUCUUAAACUGUUAGACCUUGCUUCUUUCUUUUAUAAAUCCUGGGUAAUUAAUCACUUCCACAUUCUUUUUGUAGCUAAAGACAUCUUUAUUACACAGUGUUAGCUAAUGAGAAAUAGCAGAAAUGUCCUGAGAGGAAAAGGAGGUUUUCCCAAGGAAGUUUUAACUUUUCCUAAUAAAAAGAGCUGGUUUCAGCCAGCACUACCUCCUCCUCACUUCUGAUAGUAGACCAAAGAAGUACUGGAUGGAACUUUAGCAGCCAUCUUGCAACCAUGAGGAAAAGGUCAAGAUAACCAGAAAUAAUGACUGAUAUUGUUGUGCUUUUGAAUUUAUAUCUGCAACUAACCACCCCAGGACCAGUUAUUUUAGAGAAGAAUAACCCUGUUUGUUUAAGCCACUCUUACCCACUUUAAGGCAAGUAUUCUGUUACUAGCAGACAAGCAGAAUUCUAGUUAAUAUAAGGCACUUAUAUUAUGUAGAUAUUCAGGCACAUACCUAUACCUAUAAAGUAAGGGUUAUAACAGAGGCAUAUGCGAGUUAAUAUAGGGACACAUACAAAAUGAGUACUUAAGUUGAUUAGAAAAUUCAAAGAAAGGUUUCACUGGAAGCGAUGUUAAAGGUAAUCUUUGGGUCAUGAGUUCAACUGAUGAGGAAAGUUAGCGAGUAUGAGAUAGUCAUUUGAAAUAAGGGUAACAGCAUGUUAAAGAGAUGUCCUGAAAGAAGAUAUCAUGUUCUGGGAAUUGUACAUAAUUGAGCAAGUGUCAAACAUAAAAUCAUGGAGGAGUUAGCUUGCUAUGUGCAUAAAAGAUGACGCUGGAGGGCUACGUCGAGGACAGUUAUUGAAUGGCUUCAACUAAUAGGUGAUAUAAUUUUGCUCUGUCCUCAAAGAUACAAAGAUUUUAAGGAAGGAGUACAUGAUUAAUUUAUAUUAUAGAAAAACACCAUGCUGGCUGCAGUAUAAAGGAGGAAUUCAAGAAGAAUGCUUUCUGGCAGGAAGACCAGCUAAGAGAAAUAGUUAUAGUAAGAAAUAAUGAGUAUAUCAGUUAAAAGAGUGACAGUGGAAAAUGGAAAAAGGACAGAUUCUACAGAUUUUAUGAAGCUAGAGGUAAUAGAAACUAGUGAUAGAUUAUUUAUUUUAAUGUAAAGAGAGGAUAAUCAAGACUGGUUCCCAGAUUGUAUUUUGGGCUAGUGGUGAAUCAUGGAUGAAAAAUAGGGAGCAAAGGAAAAGAAUGUGCUGGAGUGAAGGCAACAAAGAUACAUGUGAGAUGUUUUUUGUUUAUUUUCUAUUCAAGAUUCAUUGUUAGCUGUAGAAUUUAGUAAAUGGGCUCAUGGUUCUUUCUUCUCAGAAAACCUCCCUGAUAUGCCAGGGUCAAUCUGGAUCCUCCGUCAAGCAGACACCAAGAUAGGAGUUGACACUGAAGAAAGAGCAUGUAAAGGAUAAAGGUAGGUGGGGGGGCAGGAAGAGUUUUCAGACUGUGAUGCAGGGUUGACAUCUCGGAAGGAGAGGGAAGGAACAGUGGGUAGGAAGAAUGGUGCACUACUGAGAAAGUCUUUGUCAAGCUAAUGAGGAAUCCUGGCACAGAGAUUACCUAUUAGGCGAGCCCCACACAGGAUAGAAAGGGCUGAACUUUACUAUUGGCAUCACGUUUGGUCAUCGGCUGACAUGGACAGUGUGGCAGAUUUGAAGAUUUGGCAGCUGAAGACUGUCAUCAGCAACACUUUUCCCACCAGGUUCUCUUGACAUGAGAUCCAAACAGUGCACCUCUAUUGCUACUAAAUGUCAGUUCUUGAAUAUUCCAGAGUUCCUUUUCUUUGAGGGCAAGGGUUGGAUUGUAUUUUACCACCUCUUUAAAAUUAGGAUGGCCAUAUGACUUAUUUUGGUCAUUAAGUUGUAAGUGGAAGUUUGAAAAAACAGUAUAUGCUUUGCCGGAUUAUCUUUUUCUCUUCAAAGAAAAUACCUUUUGAGCAGAACUUCCAUCAAUCUGGGCCCCAAUAAUGAGCAGGCUCUUACCAACUCAGGUGGGACAUGUAGACUGAGCAAGAAAUAGCAUUAUUGUAAUAAGCCAUUGAGAUAUUAUGUUUUUUAUUGAGGCAUAACCUAGAUUACUCUGACUGAAACCAUAGCUUUGGAGAUUGUGCUGGAGUAUUUUAGUUUCUACAUACACUGAGAAAUAGGCAGUGACCAUUGGGGAACAGGAGGCAGUGAACACUGGGGAAGAGGAGGCAGUGAACAUACCACUGGAAUCCAGCUUGGUUGGAUAUAAGAGCACAACAAUUUGAAAGCGUUAGUCAAAGAAAUGAACUGCUUGAUUUUCCUUCUGAGCUUCUAAAGUCAUUUAUAUUUAGAAGGAAAAGCUCACCAGUCAUAGGUUGUAACAAAUUAUUAAUACAUAAAUGUGUUCUGAGCUAACAGGACCAUAAACUGUCAUAGUUGGUCAACAAUAUUUAUUGUGGAUAAACAACUUGUAUUAGAUAUGUUAGAACAUAAAAAAGAGAACAAUGAUUAUUAUCAUCCCUUUUAUUGUAUGCCACAUAUUAUGAGAUUCAAAGGCUUUCAUAAAUAUUUUCUUCUACUCAGUGGAGUAAGUAGGGAAAGUAUUAUUAUCCCAGUUUUACAGUUAAGGAAAUGGAAACCCACAAACUUUAAAUGACAAAGGGGAUAAGUGGUUGAAACAAAACUAGAACUCAAUACAUCUGAGUAGAUGCCUGUAAAUUAAAAUAUUGCCUUCUUGCGAAGGCUAAAAUUCUUGUUGCCAGAAAAAGUUUAAGAAUAUUUUCAGUGCCUACAGUCAAAUACAUAUGCAUCAAUAAGGCAUUUGCAGCUAUUUUGUGUCAUGGUAUUGGAUGAAUGCUAUAAUUAGAAAACAGACGUGAAGCCGACCUAAAACCAUCAAACUAAUAUAGAGAGCCCUGAAGCUUUUUCCAGUUCCAGUCAGUCUGAAAAGACAACAUCAAAUGCUAAUGAGAGUCAGUCUUAAAUAAAAUAAGAAUAAAAAUUGCUUUAUCUGUGGCUUAUAACUCUUAAGUGAAUUUAAUGUGUAUUUUCUCUCUUGUGUGUUACAUUUUCCCUAUAAGGAAUUAUAGAGUUGAACCCAGAUCUUGUACCCAUAAAUCUCAAAUGCUUAUGGAGACAUAAAGAAUAGGUAAAAAUGGAUUUUUAAUCACAUUAAGGAAUGCUGUUAUGAGGCAACUUCCUUUGAAACUCAAAAUACUAACAAAUUGAUAGGAAGAUUUUAAAACAUGGCUCCAUUUUAUUUGAUACUUGUUCCAUCUAAAGGUUGGACUUUUCCCCCUUUCUGAUUAACCUGGAUUCUGUGCUUGCUUUCAAUCUGGCCGUUUCUAGAUCAGGCCUUAAGAAACUGGCAGUUCCUACUUCCUGUCUCUUCAGACACUCUGGAAACCACCAUGCUGUGAGGAAGCCCAAGUAGUUCCUGGAGAGAUCUACACCAAUAACUGAAGCCCCAAGGCCCUAGCACUGGCUGAGCUCCCAGCUGAAAGCCAGCACCAAAUUUCCAUAACUUUGAGUGAACCAUCUUGGAAGUGUAUAUUCCAGUUCCAGGUUAAGUGUACUCAGAAAUAACCUGCCCCAUUGAUCCCUGUAAAAAUUGGAGAUCUGAAAGCAAAAUACAAUAUUGUUGACAUUUUAAGUCAGUAGGGUUUGGGGCAGUUUAUUGUAUCAGUGAACUUUGCCUAGGUUGGUUUUACCUAGAGGCCUUCUAUAGUACAUAAUAGAGUACCUUGGUCUGGUUAUAGGGAUUUUGUGCCUUCCUUUACAUUUUAAAGUGAAAGAAAAAUAUCUUUUCUGUGAACAUGAAUUUUUUAUUAUUAUUGUUAUACUUUUAAGUUCUAGGGUACAUGUGCACAAUGUGCAGGUUUGUUACAUUGGUAUACAUGUGCCAUGUUUGUUUGCUGCAUCCAUCAACUCGUCAUUUACAUUAGGUAUUUCUCCUAAUGCUAUCCCUCCCCCAGCUCCCCAGCCCCCAACAGGCCCGGGUGUGUGAUGUUCCCCUCCCUGUGUCCAUGUGUUGUCAUGAACAUCAAUAUUUUUAAUGAGGGCAUUAAGUUUACUCUAUUGUGUGGUUAUCCUGUAUUCUUGUAGCAUUGUCUCGUUUAGUCCGUAGAGAAAGAUCACAUCCCUGUAGUGUGUGAUCUACUAUAAAAUGAGUUGGGGUUUUUUGUGUCAAUAAAAUGAGUUGCAACA